UAGAGACAACACUUCAGUUCUUCUCACUAUGCAUGAGAGUUUUGUCAAUAUAAGUUUAUUAUUUGAAAACAGCCUUGAUAUUGGCAAUGCUAAUUCUGAAGGAAGGUAACAAUUGGAAACAAAAUCCAAAAUUUCAAGUGUUUCUUCAGAAUAGUCACCAAAAAAUCCUCAGGCUACUAGGUAGACUUCUAUUUGGAGAGCAUAUAAAUUACAUUUUUAAUUUGGACCACAGCCAAAAAGUGAAACAUGGAACUUCCUGAUGCCUAGCCCCUGAUUUCCUUUCUCUCCACUAGACACAGAGAGAGGCAGAGACACAGGCAGAGGGAGAAGCAGGCUCCUUGUGGGGGGCCAAUGUCGGACUCGAUACCGGAAUUCUGAGAUCACGCCCUGAGCUGAAGGCUCAACCACUGAGUCACCCAGGUGUCCCUUGACUGAAAUUCUUAAUGAGAACUUAAGACAGAACAAUAUGGAAACAUAAUACAAAGUGUAAUGCUGACAUCGAUAAUACAAGCUGUGCCUUGCAUUGUUUAUUUAAAAAAAAAUGUAGAAGAGUGAUUCCUCAUUCUGACAUCAACCAAAAGAAAGAUGACUCUAGCGGACCAAAUGAGAAAGUCUUGCCAGGAUUUUAAAGUACUCCCACUGUAAAGAGUUUGCAAGUCCUUACUCCUCUCAUUACAAUAAGCAAAGGCUGGAGAAAUGGAAAAGCAGUCACUUACCUUGGACCCAUCAGAAAAUUCAUUUUGGGAGAAACUACUACCUGUUUAUCUGGAGAGACAGGCUCAUUUAGUGAGACAUCAUGAGAUCAGUUUGUCUGGAAGAGAAGUUGCAGAAUCCAUAAAUGGAGAAACACUGAAAUGGUAACUUUAACAAGUAGCUUGAGACAGAGUGUGGAAUAAUGUGAAUAUGAGAAAUUCUUGGGAACUUCAUUCUUUUUUUUCUUUUUCUUUUUCCUGGAAUUUUUUUUUUUUUUUGAGAGAGAGUACACACA